CAGCCGCCGCGGUAAUGCGAAGGGUGCAAGCGUUAAUCGGAAUUACUGGGCGUAAAGCGUGCGUAGGCGGUGAGUUAAGUCUGUUGUGAAAUCCCCGGGCUCAACCUGGGAAUGGCAAUGGAUACUGGCAAGCUAGAGUGUGUCAGAGGAUGGUGGAAUUCCCGGUGUAGCGGUGAAAUGCGUAGAGAUCGGGAGGAACAUCAGUGGCGAAGGCGGCCAUCUGGGACAACACUGACGCUGAGGCACGAAAGCGUGGGGAGCAAACAGGAUUAGAUACCCCAGUAGUCCCUGUCUCUAUACA
rnacentral:rRNA from 1 species